CGCUCCUUGCACACACCGCCCCGUCGCUUCAUCGAAGUUGGGGUUUGCGCGAGGUGACGUCUAAUUGGCGUUAUCGAACGCGAGUUUAGCAACGAGGGAG
rnacentral:rRNA from 1 species